rnacentral:misc_RNA from 1 species
GAUGAAGAACGUAGCGAAAUGCGAUACUUGGUGUGAAUUGCAGAAUCCCGUGAACCAUCGAGUCUUUGAACGCAAGUUGCGCCCGAAGCCAUUAGGCCGAGGGCGCGCCUGCCUGGGCGUCACACGUCGUUGCCCCCCAUCUACUCCUUCGGGAUUGCGGGGGGCGGAUGAUGGCCUCCCGUGCGCCUCGUCGCGCGGUUGGCAUAAAUGCCAAGUCCUCGGCGACGCACGCCACGACAAUCGGUGGUUGCGAAACCUCGGUUGCCCGUCGUGGGCGGUCGUCGCGCAUCGAGGGCUCGAAAAAAUCGCCGGGCUCCGGCUCGGCUUUCAACGCGACCCCAGGUCAGGCGGGGUUACCCGCUGAAUUUAAGCAUAUCAAUAAGCGGAGGA